GAUUAAGUUAUUAAGGGCGCACGGUGGAUGCCUUGGCACUAGAAGCCGAUGAAGGACGUUACUAACGACGAUAUGCUUUGGGGAGCUGUAAGUAAGCUUUGAUCCAGAGAUUUCCGAAUGGGGAAACCCAGCAUGAGUUAUGUCAUGUUAUCGAUAUGUGAAUACAUAGCAUAUCAGAAGGCACACCCGGAGAACUGAAACAUCUUAGUACCCGGAGGAAGAGAAAGAAAAUUCGAUUCCCUUAGUAGCGGCGAGCGAAAUGGGAAGAGCCCAAACCAACAAGCUUGCUUGUUGGGGUUGUAGGACACUCUAUACGGAGUUACAAAGGACGACAUUAGACGAAUCAUCUGGAAAGAUGAAUCAAAGAAGGUAAUAAUCCUGUAGUCGAAAAUGUUGUCUCUCUUGAGUGGAUCCUGAGUACGACGGAGCACGUGAAAUUCCGUCGGAAUCUGGGAGGACCAUCUCCUAAGGCUAAAUACUCUCUAGUGACCGAUAGUGAACCAGUACCGUGAGGGAAAGGUGAAAAGCACCCCGGAAGGGGAGUGAAAUAGAACCUGAAACCGUGUGCUUACAAGUAGUCAGAGCCCGUUAAUGGGUGAUGGCGUGCCUUUUGUAGAAUGAACCGGCGAGUUACGAUUUGAUGCAAGGUUAAGCAGUAAAUGUGGAGCCGUAGCGAAAGCGAGUCUGAAUAGGGCGUUUAGUAUUUGGUCGUAGACCCGAAACCAGGUGAUCUACCCUUGGUCAGGUUGAAGUUCAGGUAACACUGAAUGGAGGACCGAACCGACUUACGUUGAAAAGUGAGCGGAUGAACUGAGGGUAGCGGAGAAAUUCCAAUCGAACCUGGAGAUAGCUGGUUCUCUCCGAAAUAGCUUUAGGGCUAGCCUCAAGUGAUGAUUAUUGGAGGUAGAGCACUGUUUGGACGAGGGGCCCCUCUCGGGUUACCGAAUUCAGACAAACUCCGAAUGCCAAUUA
rnacentral:rRNA from 1 species